rnacentral:lncRNA from 1 species
AGGAAGUAUAUACGUAAUAUAUAUAUAUAUAUAUAUUGUAAUAUCCCGCAACUAGGAGACGCGGGUAAAUCAAGAUUUCAGCCCGUUGGUUGCCAACCGGCGGACUGCACACAGCACACCCACAAGUUGUUCAUGCCUUACGCGUGAGGUGGCUGCUUCCUACUCCGCUUGGGGGUUGGUCAACAGAUGGUGCUGCUAGCUUGCCAAGCAGCUGGCAAGAUCGCCUCUUCCCCUCUCCAACUGGGCACUUCUUCUCUGCAACUAAUGGCUUGUAUCACGCAGGGAGGAGAUUGAAUGGGAGUUUACGUUAAAGCUCCCCAUUCUGUUUCCUGUUCAUCAUUAUGCCUGAAAGAGAGAGAAGUAUAAGAGAGAUGCAGAUAGAGUUGUUGAGUGUAGAGAGAGAGACAGAAGGAAAAUAAAGAAACUGAAGAGAGAGAGAGAGAGAGAGAGAGAGAGAGAGAGAGAGGAACGCAAAACAGAGAACUGUGCGCGGUGUGCUCUACCGGGAGAAAAUCUGGCCCUCUUCGCAUGUGUAAUGGAGUUCUGGACUUUUGGAGCUUCGUCCUCCCUUCCUCUUCCUGUUCAGGGUCUCCUUUAGCCAUUUUAGGCUGCUCAGAAUGCGCAGCAAGCUUCACAAUGCAACUUUCCCUCUGCUGCUGUCAGUCGAGCGCCUACUGCAGGUGGGCGCUAUUCUUCUGCUCUUUCUGCUUUCCUUCUAUUAUUUUCUUGGAAUUAGAGAGUCCUUAGACACUCGCUUAUGUGUUAGGAUCAUUUCCCAUCAAUCUCCUGCAGCGGAUUCUUCCAAAAACACUGCAGAAGUCUCGGCCGACUCACCCAGCUCCGCAGCCACUACCAUGGCGUGUUGCAGAAAUGUUCUUGACAAUUGAGGGUGAUCCACUCGUGCGUUUAGUCCCAAAUUCGAUCCCAAGUGAGGUAAGAAUUGUAAUACACUCUUGAACACAUUUAAUGGAUCUUUUAUCCACUCGUGUGUGUGUUCAUGAAUUUUUGGUGUAGUAAUCUUAUGUUUUCUGUUUGUUUAUGGUGUUUUUUUAUGUUAUGUUUGCUAACAUGUAAGGAUGUUUUAGGAGUAUGAAUUAAUCAUCACAGGAGAGAAAACAAGCAAGAAAAUGGAGAGAAGACGGAAGGAGGCACACUGCCUUUGUCUGCGUCAUGUCAUGGCACCAAAGCAUCGGGAUAGCAUGUAGACACGGUCUGCCGUGCGGGCGAGCAUGCACGGGCUGCGCGCACACAAGCACCAGGACAGAUUCCCGGGCACAUUGCGUACGUGCAGCAUGCUGCGCGUGAGCAGAAGACUAUGACAGGCGCCCUGUGCGCCGAGCGAGUUUGUGAGUGACGUGCUGGUGCCUCGCGGACGUGAGGUGGGCAUGCAAUGGCGUGUGAGACACCCGUCUAGGUGCCCGAAUGCGCCAAGGCGGAUGUCCUUGGCACGCUGCAACGUGCAGUGCACAUUGUGAGGCACGCGCAGCUCUGGCAGGCGCCUGGGAUUUUAGGAGAAGAAAAAUGGGAAAUUAAUAGGAAAACAUAAAUUUCUACUAGUUUAGAAGUAAGACCGGCUAAAUAGAGAAAUUAGAAAAAUAGGAAUUCGGGCAGUUAAAUGGGAAAAUUAUAAAUAAUAAAUUAGUCCUAAUCUAUUAUUUAUAAAUAAUUAAUUUAAAUAAUUAAUUAAAUAGGGAAGUUAGUAAAUUAGUCUAAAAUGGAAAUUAAGUGGAAAUUAAAUAACAAGAAUCAAAUUUGGUAAAUCAAAUAUUAAUGCAUUUAAAUAAGAAAAUUAGAAAUGGGAUAAAUAAAUAAAUAAAAUUAGAAAACUAAAUUUGAAAAUUGGAACAGAAAAUAAAUAAGUUAGAAAACUAUAAUAAUAUGAAAAUAAAAUUCAUAGGAUAAAAUCACCUAGACUAAUUUAGGUUAAUUAAAAAAGGUCUAUUUGUUAUUUAUGUUUAUCUUAUGUAUGUUAUAUGUAUAUUGUUUCGUUAUUUAUUGUAGAGGAUUAUGUUGCCAAAUGGUAAAAUGAAAUGAAUUGAAUGCAUGAAAUGGAAAAUAGUAAAAGGAUAGGUUGUGAGCUAGUAAGGGACGUGUAAGUUAUGCAAAGAACAUUAGAAGAAAAAUGGGGAAAAAAUAAUGUUAGAGUCAUGUUGGCCAAGUUUAGGGUAGCUAGGCGUUGUGUCUAAAAAGACAACCAAGUUAGGAGUCUAAUAGAAGUUACUUAACCAAAUAGUCAGGUUGAAUCUGGUUCGUCUGAAUUCUAAGAGGGACCUCGAUUGAUUGUUUGAUACUGAUUGGCUUCAAGGAGCCACUAUGCUAUGGGUGCAGCUAGUUAUUGGUUCCACUAUAUGGGACAAUUUAGUGUUUCUGGGAGGAAAAGUUAGUCUUGAUUGGUAUUCAUGCUCUAGGACUCAAGGGUGUUGAUCAUGGCAACCGGGGUGACUAUGGGAUGGUGCCCGAAAAAAAAAGAGUGAUUGUAUCUUUUAUAGAUUAUAUAUGUAAAUUAUUAUUAAUUAUUAUUAGCACACCCAUCCAUAGAUAAUGGUGUCUGUAUUGCCCUUCCUGAAAAUAGAUGUUAAGUGGUUGCACACGCAGAAUUGGCAAUGUCAACUUAAUUAAAGAUAUAAAUGAAAUAAAAGACUUAAUAAAGAAGAAGAAUUAGUGAGUCAGAGUCAAUCAUCAGAGUUAGUCUGAGUGCACGUGUAGAGCUUACAUGUGAUUGAUUGUGUGGGUAAUUGCAUGGGGUUUUGGGGAUUGGAAGUCGAGAACAUGUAUAAUAUCAGGGAUUGCAUGUUAUCGAUUCUAGAGUAGUGAUGGUAGAAUAGGGAUUGAUUGAUAGAUUGAUGGAUUGAUUGAUUGAUUGUUAUUACUUUCAUUGAUAGAUUAAUUGUAAUUUAUGUGGGUCAAUUGUCUCAUUUAAUGGAUUUAUAUUUGGAAUUUGAAUUUAAGGUAUGUGUUAUUUUUAUGUAAUUCCGCAGCAUUUGAAUAAAUUUUCUAGUUUUAAGUUAUGGUACAAAUGAUUGAGGAUUGUUGUGAAGAAUUUGGGAACAAGACAUUAUAUAUAUAGUUUAAGUGCUCGAUAAUGAUUUCACAUUGGAUAUAUAUCAAAGGAGU